rnacentral:rRNA from 1 species
AUGAACGGAAAGGCGAAAGCAGUGGUGGUGGGGCUCGUGGCUCGGCUCGCCCAGGAUUCGAGGCAAAGCCCCUCGCUUUGGCGUGCGCUUUGCUCGGUUGGCUUGGGCUCGGGGUGGUGGAGCCGUGGAGGAAACUGCCGGGAGGAGGAGGAGGAGGAGGAUGGCUUGAGAUUCCUAUCGUGUGGAGGUUUUUAUCAUCGUCGACCAACCAGUGAGCAGUGUGGGAGAGUGAGGGCUACUGAGGAGGAGGAGGAGGAGGCCGGCCGGGUGGCUUCCAGUCCAGUGAGUCCAGCCUCCGUCGCCUUUGGCCUUUUUUCUGUUGGAGAUUAG